rnacentral:rRNA from 1 species
AUUGAACGCUGGCGGCAGGCCUAAAACAUGCAAGUCGAGCGGAGCGGCGGACGGGUGAGUCAGGCAUUGGCAUCUGCCUGGUAGUGGGGGAUAAAGUCCGGAAAGGGGCGCUAAUACCGCAUACUAGCAGCUGAGCCUAGGUCGGAUUAGCUGGUUGGUGGGGUAAAGGCCUAACAAGGCGACGAUCCGUAAAUGGUAUGAGGGGACGAUCAGUCACACGGGAACGGAUACACGUCCCAGACUCCUACGGGAGGCAGCAGUGGGGAAGAUUGGACAAGGGGCGAAAGCCUGAGCCAGCCAUGCCGCGUGUGUGAAGAAGGUCUUCGGAUUGUAAAGCACUGUAAGUUGGGAGGCGUUACCAACAGAAUAAGCACCGGCUAACUUCGUGCCAGCAGCCGCGGUAAUUC